UCCCUGGUGGCUCAGGGUAAAGAAUCUGCUUUGCAAUGCAGGAGAUGCAGGUUCGAUCCCUGGCCUGGGAA
rnacentral:tRNA from 1 species